rnacentral:ncRNA from 1 species
CAAAGGUUUGGUCCUGGCCUUGUUCUUAGCUAUAGCCAGACUUACACAUGCAAGUAUCCGCCCCCCCGUGAAAAUGCCCUUUACCCUUCCCCCCGAAGGAAAGGAGCUGGUAUCAGGCUCACCCUCGUAGCCCAUAACACCUUGCUAUGCCACACCCCCAAGGGUAAUCAGCAGUGAUAAACCUUAAGCCAUAAGUGAAAACUUGACUCAGUUAAGGCUAAAAGAGCCGGUAAAUCUCGUGCCAGCCACCGCGGUUAUACGAGAGACUCAAGCUAACAACACAACGGCGUAAAGCGUGGUUAAGAAUACAAAAAACUAAGGUCGAACACCCUCAUGGUCGUGAUACAUAUCCGAACCUACGAAGCCCAACCACGAAAGUAACCUUACAUAAUCUGACUCCACGAAAACUAUGACACAAACUGGGAUUAGAUACCCCACUAUGCUUAGUUAUAAACUUUAAUAGUUCACCAUAUUAACUAUUCGCCAGAGAACUACGAGCAUUAGCUUAAAACCCAAAGGACUUGGCGGUGCUUAAUACCCAUCUAGAGGAGCCUGUUCUAUAACCGAUAAUCCCCGUUAAACCUUACCCUCUCUUGCUCAAUUCCGCUUAUAUACCGCCGUCGUCAGCUUACCCCCCAAGAGCCCAACAGUAAGCACAAUCAGUACAACUCAAAACGUCAGGUCGAGGUGUAGUGUAUGGGAGGGAAAGAAAUGGGCUACAUUCUCUAUUACUAGUAGCACGAAUAAUACAUUGAAACAUGUAUCUUGAAGGUGGAUUUAGAAGUAAGUAGAAAAUAGAGUGUUCUACUGAAGUUGGCUCUAAAGCGCGCACACACCGCCCGUCACUCUCCCCGAACAAUACAAAAAAAAUCAAUAAUAAGUUAUCAACCACAAUAGGGGAGACAAGUCGUAACAUGGUAAGUGUACCGGAAGGUGCACUUGGCCCAU